CCAUGUACCCGGUCUGUCCACCAUCUCUUAGGAUAUCUAGUAAGGCUGUCAUUCCAUCUGUUUAUUUGAUCACACCCCUUUCCUGUUUUCCUUUAGUCUCCAUUACCAAAUCAAAUAUAAUCACAUAAACAAAUAAACAUGCAUUCGAUAAUGCAAUCAUGUCUCAAAUUCCAAAUCAAACAAUGUUCAGGUAAGACAGUAAUACAUGCAUUAAACCAUAAAAUAGGUAAAUCAGAUAUUAUCAUGCUUUUAGAGUGUAGAAUAAAUCAACAGAGAAUAAUAUCCGGUUCGGGCUCUAUUAGCAAUCCGUAAUUAAUUAUGCAUAUUUAUUUAAUUU
rnacentral:lncRNA from 1 species